UACGUAGGGUGCAAGCGUUAAUCGGAAUUACUGGGCGUAAAGCGUGCGCAGGCGGUUCGUUAUGUCCGAUGUGAAAGCCCCCGAGCUCAAACUUGGGAAUGGCAUUGGAAACUGGCGGGCUGGAGUGUGGCAGAGGGGGGUGGAAUUCCACGUGUAGCAGUGAAAAUUCGUAGAUAUUCGGAAGAACACCAGUGGCGAAGGCGACUCACUGGACACGUAUUGACGCUGAGGUGCGAAAGCGUGGGGAGCAAACAGGG
rnacentral:rRNA from 1 species